rnacentral:rRNA from 1 species
CAGCCGUAAACUAUGCGCGUUAGGUGUACUGGUGACCACGAGUCACCGGGUGCCGAAGGGAAACCGUGAAACGUGCCGCCUGGGAAGUACGGUCGCAAGGCUGAAACUUAAAGGGAAUUGGCGGGGGAGCACCACAACGGGUGGAGCCUGCGGUUUAAUUGGACUCAACGCCGGAAAUCUCACCGGAUAGGACAGACAUAUGAUAGUCGGGCUGAAGACUCUACUUGAUGAUCUGAGAGGAGGUGCAUGGCGUCAGUGACU